AUUCUUGGCUGCAGAUUUUUCCCAUUCAGCACUUUGAAUAUAUCAUGCCACUCCUUUCUUGCUUGGAAAGUUUUAGCCAAAAAUCUGCUGAUAGCUUAGAGGAGUUU